GCUGAGAUUUUGGUGUGUAACCUCUGUUUUUUUUCUAAUGCGGUCGUUUGAAGUUUGAUGUCUUCCUGACAACUUUACUUGGCUCUUCAUAGCAAUUUUCAUGCCCUGAAAAUAUGCAGGGGUUAGGUGGGGGAUGCUGGAUCAUGUUCUUUGAUAAGGGCCUGGGAUUCCUUCGAUAACAAGGACUCUUUUGUUGCAGACUGAUCCCGUGCUACCUUAGUGUGGGAGUGGUGAAGUUUGAAAUGGAUGGUGUCACUAAAUUAGUGACCACAUCAGAACUGCUCUGAUCUGCAUCGCUUCCAGACAAAUUAAGCUAUGUGUCAAGGCGAGGUCAUUUGGUGAUCCUGAGAAGUCAGUUAAUAUUAUUCUUAGACCACAAGGAAUUUCCACUUACUGUAAAGCUGUCAGGCUGUUCCUCUUCGCCCCGUCAGUGGGACUGCAGCUUUGUUCUCUGCGUGUCCAGUGGCAUUGCAGCAGCGUGUUGGGGCAGUGAUGAUACAGCCCAUUAACAACAGCGUGCUGCUUGUGAGAGUUUCUGCAGGAGCUGGAGCAGCCUGGGUGUGGGACAGCUAUAAAGUCCUUUGUCAGGGUAAGGAGUAUAGUGAAAUUAAGGUUUACAGGAAACAUUUGUUGUUAGCAGUCUAGCCACAUCCUCGCUCACCAUCUCAUAGAGGCCCAGAGUGCCAGCAGGUGAAUAUAAAAACAUGUUGAUUCUUACACUCCUAGAUGAAACACGAAAGAGUACCAGCUGCUGAGCAGAGCAGCGGAAACGUGGCAGGUUUGGUGUGCGUGCAGUUUUCUGAUGAUGUAUCCGGUCAUUGAGAAAGCCAUCAAACACACGUUGUGUUGCUCUGUAGAGUGCUGGGAGCAGUCCUGAGCACAGCAGGAAAAUAAUGAAGACCUGUCAGAAAGCUGCGUUCUUGGGCAGUUUUUCCAGUGGCCUGCGUCACCUGACUGGGAGCUCUGACGUGCGUGGUCCAGAGGUGAUGCAGAAUGUGUUUGCUGGGACAGGAACCUUGAGGGCAGUCUGCACGCUUCUGGGCACGGGGGGGGUUGAGGGAGCUGUGGGCACCGUCACUGGUCAGCCUGCAGGGAUGGACAAAGCCUUUUGUACGGCGUGCUGUGUGAGCAGCUUGUGGGCUGCGUGAAGGUCACAGGGGAGCGCUGCAUCUCUGGAAGUGGCGGGGCACAGGGGCAGGGGGUGCAGGCUGGGUGCCAUCCAGCCUUGGGAAAACUGAUAAACUUGGAUACAAUACCAGGCAAAUCUUGCUGACUGUAGGAGUUAUAUUUUUGCUCCUGAGCAUGAGGCCUGUUGAAGUUUCGAGCAUAAAUAAUUGCUCUCUCUCCAGUGCGUGGACUCUGGCUCUGUGCUUGGCCCUGUGUCCCAGCCCCCGCUCCACUCAGCAGGGUCAGGGAGAAGGGAGAAGGGGCGGUGUCUUUGGCUGACAUGAGCCCGCUGGGGAGGGAUGAGAGGAAGGGGGUCUUGGGGGCUGGGUUCAGAGCAAGGUUAGCCAAAUAUCGGAUAAAUUAAGCAAGAGAAACAGACAGCUCAGCUUGCAGUGAACUUUUCACCCAGCUAACCUGUUGCUCACCCUGCAUUGCACAGGUGGAGUACAACUCAAGUAGAGCACAACCCUGGCUUUCCCUGCCUCCUUUUUUGCUGUGGUGCGAGGCAUGGCCAAGGAGAGAGCAGGAACUGAAAGUUUCAUUUGUUGUUUUGAGUCCAAAAAAGAUCUGAUUGCUGACUUAAGAGCACUGAAGUUAAUGCCACUAAUUGCCAUGGGGUCACUUAGUAUUUGUUCUGGUGUAGAACAAGUACCAAUAAUUUCUGGUCAUAGAGAAUGGGGAAGAAAUUCCAUGCUGAAGAGGGCAAGGAACAAAUAGUGCCUGAACAGGAAUGGUUAGAGAUUCUUUGUGGGAAGAUGCAAGGCUGGUGGGAAUUCAGUGAAUUCUGAUGUUUAUAUUUCUCUGACUUUUCUUCUGCUUUUGCAGUGCAAGUAAAUACAAAUGAUUGCUGACAGAUGUUGUAAAAACAUAGCAUUAUGCAAACCAUUAAGCUUAAUUUUGUUCUCAGUUACUAAUACACAUGGCAUAGUAUGGCUCUUACUCACAUCACCUCUAUGUAAAACGUGGACUUUCUUCCAGGGGCACAGAAUCCAGAACAGAAUUUAUUCUGUAGACCUUUUCUGAAAUCCCCACUGCUUCUUCUCCCAGGAACUCUCCAAGCAAAUUAAAGUCAGCGGAGUGGCAGCUUUGUUGGAAAGUAAUAUCUGGUAGAGUCCUUAAACCCUAAAACGUAGUUCUCUAGCUUCAAGUCAGUGUUCUGAAAUCGGAACUCCUGUUCUCUGGUCUUCCUUUCACUCACUGUAGGUGAGGAAGGCCUGAAACCCACUGCAGUGCUUAUUGCACAGUAUUUCCGGGAGCUCAGCCCUGUAUUUUUCUAUGUGUGCCUAAAUUCCGUAGAACAGAGGUCUUUGCAGAGGCUUUGAAGAGCCUGUUAUCGGUAGUGAACUUUCAGAUGGUGAACGCCGGGAGCUCUGUCUAAAAUGGAAGGAACAUUGUAUAAACCUAGAGAUAAGCUCUGACUUCAGGGAGCUGCGAGCCUUCCUAGAGCCAUGAGUAUUUUCAGCUCUGCCUGCUGCUCUGCUCAGGGCAGGGGAUGGCUUCCCUCCCCCAUUUUGGAUCUGGGAAGGAGGUCAAGUUUUUCUCGCGCUGCAUGUGCGUUUGAGUUCACGUACAGCCCCUGGCAGGUUUACAUUAGGUGAUUGGCUGCAAAGUAGUACUGACAGCGUCUCCCUUGGUAUCCCAAAUUCCUGGGUGUUGAGGAAGGACAGGAGUUCAGACUGACAUUACCAAACUGUCCAGAUGUGCAUUCAGGCCACCCCAGUGCUGCUGUAGGAUGGUGGGGAGCUGGUGGCAUGCCCUGGGGGUCCCAGAGCAGGGGGGGUUCAUGCAGCUGGGGGGCAGGAGUGGCAAUGCAGUGAUGGAGCCCACUGUUACCACUUAGAGCUCACUAACUCCUCGCCUGCCUGGGAGCAGGGAUGUCAUUUUGUUCUCUUAAAGUUUCAGUGUUUUGCCUGAUAGGUGAGAAAUAAAUGUAGAAUGGGUGCGGAAGCUUGGUGUUUCUGUUGACAGAAGGGGGCCGUAGGUCUCUUCUGUAGAUUGAGAAGAGUAGGGGUGCGUUAGAAGAAGGGGUGGAGAAAGAGAGAAUGAAUUGCAGUGUGGCUGCAGUGCAGUUUCUGAGCUUGCCUAUUGCAUCAGCCUGUUGCUGAUGCCGCUAGUUACUUAGCAGGUUUUUUCCUCAUGCAGUUGUUAAAAAAAGUAAAAGUAGCAGUCGAAAUCUGCUUAAGGCAGCACUGCUCUCUGCUGCCCCUUCCCCUGCAAUGACAGAAGCAAUUCUGUGCAUUUGGUGAACCCGGAGAAUGGAUUCUGUUUAAACUCAUGUUUUUGUUUGCUUGUUUGGGGCCCUUGGUUUGUUGUUCUGGUUUUGUUUUGUUCCCUUGGGAUAGCUCUGGCUGACUAAUUUUAAAGCCUGUUGUUUUUCAAAUGCAGAUGUCACCACUAGGGAGGGAAUGGGGCAAGGACAAGUUCAGCGGUCACCAGAUAAGGAAGACUGCUCUUUUUCCAUCAGUUUGAAGAGAUUCGGCAGAGCUUUAAGUAACGCCAUAAUUUUCCUGAAGACAGAUCUGCUUGUUGAACCUGCCACUUGGAGCAUGUGUUCUCCACAAAAGUUCCUCCCUUCUAGACACGUUUGCGACACUUCCCAGACCAAUUUGUUCAUUCACCUUACGGCUUGAAGCCCUUGUUUCAAGGCAGGCUUGUUCCUUCUACUGUAUUUUUACUGCCCCUUGAGUGACAUCAUUCAAAUGGUGAGUCUCUGAGAGAUGAUUCAUACCGAAAAAGAUCUAAUAAUUGUUACCAGUUAUUCAAAUCAGUGUUACUGAUUUCCCGCAUCCUCCCACUGGUCCCUUGAGCUCCCCCACCCACUCGUUUUUCCUAAUAAUUCCCAGGCUUUCUGGCUGUAUGCUCAGUAUGCCCUCCUCAGUGUUACUGUGCUAAGGUGUAAGUAUCUCGCCCUCCCCUGAGGAGCACUUAGGGCUUGGCUGCAGCAGCUUGUGUGGGCAGAUACAGGCUGAGCUGAACUGGCAAGGUAUAGGUGGAUUGACGAGCGCUGGCCUCGGUAAAGCUUCAAACUGCUUUCACAGCACAUCUUCUGUUUCACUGCCGCGUCGGUAUUGUUGGCAGCCUCUGAGGUAGCUCGUUCAAAGCUAGAUGAGUAAUGUGUCUGCAGGCUGUGGUGCUGGGGUGCACAGAACUAUGAACUAGAUUCUCCUGAGAAGCUUUGCAAGGUACUAGGGUAAUUACAUGCUCUGUGCUAGCCAAGACUUGCACCAGUAGUGACCUUGUCAUGCUGCUGCUGUUGCAGUCUGUAGGUAAGAAUGUUUCUUCUGUUUCACAAAUGGGGAUGUGUAACUCAUGAAGCUUGUUUCUCCAGCAGCGUGAAUUGAAAUCUGUGCUGUGCAGUGAUUCAGAUCAUCAGUGCAAAAAGCCAAGUGUUGUUAGGAGCAGCCAUAUAUUGCUCUUCAUGCAGCUCCUCAGUUUGGCCCUUUAUCCCCAUCACCCGCUUUCUUCAUAUCCCUGCAUUUUCGUCCUUGAUCCUCCCUUUCAAGUCCCUUCCACGUGUGUUUUGGCAUUUCUCUUACCUUGUGCAUUCCCCUUCUUAGUCAUUCUUUUUGUUGACAGGGGCAUGCUUGAUUUUGCUCAGAGUUAGAUGGAUCUUGAGUCUCAGAGGUGGAAAGGGGUAAAUGUGGAUCAUUUCUGGAUGCCCAGCACGAACAUGCUGAUGUUCAUGUUUCUGCAUGCUGUGAACCCAGCCCCAAAACAAGCCUAUGGCUCUUCUGGGGGAAAGCUGCUUUACGUGGCAGCCUCCUCCUGUGUUGCAUUGGAUUCAGCAUUGUGUUUGUAGCUGAAAUGCCGUGUGAGCUGUGCGUUGGCCUAGCAGGAUGAGCUCACACAAAAAGAGCGACAGAGCUGCCCUUUCUGGAAAAGUUAGUGAUGGGAAUUUAUGGCUGUUGCAUCUGCAGUAAAGCUGGCACCACAGCUCUACUUCAUCAGCAGUAGGACAGCGGAGGGGAAAAAAAGCAUGGUGUAACCUUUGGUAUGUUAUUUAUUAUCACUUUGCAGCCCUCUGGAAAAUGAACUUCAGAAAAUUCUGAGCCGAUGGUAACGAUGAACACUGGGAAAACCCAGGAAUCAGCAAAUCCAUUGUGUUGCGCUGACAGAAAGAUACUGUUACAACACACUUUAGCUGCCAACUUGCUGCAGUCACUCAAUCCAUCAUGGUGGGCUGUUGGAUCACAAGGCAGUGAAACUCAGCCUGGCGUGUUAUUUUAGUCUUACAUGGACUGUGAGAUAAACGGGGCAUGAACCAGCCCCCUGGCAGGGGGUCGACCCCUAGCGCCCUCAUUAAAGUGCCAAUCAAAAAGAGUAAUGGAACGGGGAAUGGAAAGCUGGCUUCUUCAGCCUGUUCCUGCGCGCAGUCUGAGCAACUUGCACAAGCCAAGGGAAACAUUUCUCUUCUGAAGAGGAGCCAGGCUUCCAGAAAUACCUCCUCUCUCCUUGUCUCUGUGUGCGCAGUGCUGAGACCCUCCUGUGUGUCCUGCCUGUGGUGGGAGCCUGUUGCUUACUGCAGUGCAAGCAGUGGGAAGAAGCGUGGCCGAAUGUAACCCGGAAGGGAUGUAGAUGCUUGUUCUGUGGAAUAUAGUGGCCACUGAUGGGUUACAGCAUGGCUUCUCUUGCACAUAGUUCAGAUUUCAGCAUUUGCGUUUGAAAGAUGGGCAGAAAACGGUGGGUGCAGAAGCCAUGCUGGUGUGUACGAGGUAAGAAAGUGUGUUCUUGUGCUUUUCUGGGUUAUUUCAACCUUCUGCAGGAACGCACAGCAAACGGAUCCUGCAGUAAUACCAGAAUCUUUGGGUGAAGGCUCAGGCACACAUGCAGUGCUGCACUGCUUGUCUUUGAUGGUGAGUAUUUCAGACAGGUGUAUAACCUCUGCACUGCCAGUGGAUGCUUGUCUUCCCCUUCUGAGUGCAUUCCAACAGUGGUGAUGCUGUGGCAAUUUCUGUAGGUCUUGUGAUGCCUUCUGGGCUUCUGGUAUAUAAAUCCACAUUCUGCAGGUCAGCUUCACUCUGGUGCGUGCUUGGCAGAGAGGGCAAAAGGUAAUGACUGAAAAGAAAAAGCACCAUGAUACCUUGAUAGGUAUUACAAAUUUGGUUAGAAGCUUCUGCUGCCUGGAAGGUUGCAGGUGGCUGCAGGGUGAUGUGUGAUCGCAGGAAGGAGCCAGCCAGCCAUCCUUUGUUGCUGCCUGUUCUCAUGCUGUGCUGCAGUAACCGUUUUUCUAGGUGCUGUGAAGCUGCAGUCAGGCUGUGUUGUGGUGAAGAGGAGAAAGAGGCAGCAGGAUCCCGCGUUCUGAUGUUGGCCUUGCACUUCACUGUGGGAUCUUAGUCAAGGCCUCCUUUCAUGAGUAACUGUGCUGUUACAGCCCAGACAUGUGCGAACCCAGUCACAGUGUGAGGACCUGGCCUUGUGUACACAUCUGGUGCUGUUUUACUCACGUUCUCCCACUCAGAAAAGCUGAUGAUAAAGACCUUAGGAAAGGAGUACAUCUCAGUCUCAGAGAAACUGACCGGGCCUCUGUUAAUGGAACAUUUUCUCUGCUAGUUGCCAGGAACCCGCAGCGUAUGCCCAGAAUCCUGCUUUGCAGAGCUGUGUGUACCAGAUGAAGGAACGUUCUUUAAGGAAGAGAAGCAGAGUGAGAUUAUCCCUAGGGGUGUCAUCAUCUGCUGCUUCAUGCACUGUAUGAAUCAGAGGCAGCAAGGGAGACAGAUAGCUGAUCUGCUCCCCUCACCUGCAGUGUGCUAGAGCCUGCUACUAGCUGAGGACUGUCUCCAAGAAUUGAACGUACUUACAAAAUCAUGUUAUGGCUCCUGAAAUUUCAAGACAAUCUACUUUCAUGGCUGCAAGUCCUAUCUCCUCAAGUAAGACCAGGCUGAAGGAUGCUGAAGGAAUUUGGGUGGCUGUGCUUGAAGUGCUUGGAUAGAGGUCUUGUUCUCAGUGCUGAGGAUGUAGUAUGGAAGAAACGAGAGAGGGAAAGACAGAAAAUUGUACAUGGAGACAUAAGUAAGAAAGAGUGCUAAGUUCUGUAUGAAAGUACAAACUAAACUGUCAGACCAGGAUUCUCCUGCUUUCAGGGAAGGAAAACUUAAAAAAUCGAUCAUCAGAAAUCCCAAAUACACUGUAUCACCGUUCUUUGUCAAGGUAAAGUUGAGAAAUUUUAGAAGGUGUCAUGUGCCCACAAAAGCAGAACUGUUGGUUUUUUUCCAGAUACAUGGGACUAUGGCCUUCUGUAUGGCGGUAUCCAUGGAGAGAACGGAACCACCAAAAGCUGCUGUGAAGUUCAGUGGGAACAACUGGGAAACCAGACUACAGGGCUGUAUUUUUUCCCAUAAGAAGAUUGUAUCGCUGAUUUUUCAUGGUGUCAUAUAUGUACUUUGAGGAAUGGAAAAAGAGGCUGUAUUUUAUGGCGAAGCACUGAAACAUGAGCUAGUUUGUAGUUCAAGCUCUACAUUUUGUUCUACGUUUGAGUCAUGCAUCAUUACCCAUUUUCUCUUGCCAACUGUUACUUUCUUCGCCGUGCCUAGUUCUCAAAAUGGGUAUUUAACCUUUUGAGAUACGACUACAAGAUAUUACUUGAGUUGAUUUAUAUAUUUAAAAAACCCCAACUAACAUGCAUCUCCCCUACUUAAAAAAUUUCCAAUUAAUAAAAUGGAAGAUUAAAUGAAACAUGAUCCAGUAGAACAAAGCAGAAGCAACCAGAUCUCUGGAGAAUUUGUGGGUUUUUAACAACAUCAGGAAGUAAUUACACAAUAUUUUCCAGAAGUGAAACAGUGAGUCUAACUGGAAAAAAAUGUGGAAACAUUUAGUUAGAACAGUAGAGCAAGGUAUUAAACCCCCUUUUAUGGAUUUAACUCUGAAGGAAAAUAUGCAAAUAAUCAGGUCUCUAAAUGUGUUUCUGAUUAUGAUACUAGGAUAAAAGUCAGAGGCAUAAUUUUGUACUUAUUUUCCAUGACAAGAAACACUGUUUUCUUGUUGUGUGAUGUUCCUAAUGGUGAAAGUCACAGAGAAUGAGCAGUGCGACUGAAAUGGCAAAAGCCACAGGUCUCCUUACGGGGUACACUUGUGAAAAGUUGACACUUCUUUUUUUUUUAAAUCACAAACUGUUCUCUUCCAGUUCUCCCCACUUGCGAGUCAGACUGGGUGUGCCAUUUAAGUCCUUUCAAUGAGAUGAAAAUAGGAUAAUACAACUGCAAGAUCACAGGGCUACAAGCAAGUGUGGCAAACUCCAAGCUGUUCCUCCUAGGCACGCAGCUUUCAGUGCCUCCUCAUUGACGCUGGUGGAGUUACGACUGCCUCCUGAAGGGGAACUCCCUCGGAGAGCUUCACCAUGAGGUGUCAUUUUUCUCUUUAGGCACUGAAAACAAUUCUAACUCCUUUGCCUUGGCAAAUACUCUGACGUGGAGUAGAUACCCAGAGCAAAACACAGUAUCAUAUGCUCUCCACUGAAGACAGCUGUUCAGGUAACUGUGGUAGAGAGAUUUGGUUAAGUAAUGAAUUAUGCCUUGAGACCAAACUGACAUCUCCUGUAGAAACAUAUGUACAAAACUCUCUCUCUGCAUUUACUCAGUGUGGAUUUUUUUCAUACUUUCUAACCUGACCAUUACUAACAUCGUGUGCUGUUUUUACUUGCUUUCAUGCACCCAUAUCCAGGGCAUUCAAACAGAGAUGCAUCAUCAGUUUUGCAUGUAUUACCCAUUCCAAUUAUUCCAUAUUGACUAAGAA